UACAGAGGUCCCGAGCGUUGUUCGGGUUCACUGGGCGUAAAGGGUGCGUAGGUGGUGAGGUAAGUCGGAUGUGAAAUCUCCGGGCUCAACCCGGAAAUGGCAUUGGAAACUACCUUGCUGGAGGAUUUGAGGGGGGAUUGGAAUACUUGGUGUAGCAGUGAAAUGCGUAGAUAUCAAGUGGAACACCAGUGGCGAAGGCGAAUCCCUGGAAAAUACCUGACACUGAGGCACGAAAGCUAGGGGAGCAAACAGG
rnacentral:rRNA from 1 species